UACGAAGGGGGCUAGCGUUGUUCGGAUUUAUUGGGCGUAAAGAGCGUGUAGGCGGCUAGGUAGGUGGGUUGUGAAAACUGGAGGCUCAACCUUCAGACGUCGACCCAAACCCCCUGGCUAGAGUCCGGAAGAGGAGAGUGGAAUUCCUGGUGUAGCGGUGAAAUGCGUAGAUAUCCGGAGGAACACCAGUGGCGAAGGCGACUUCCUGGCCUGUUCUUGACGCUGAGGCGCGAAAGCUGGGGGAGCAAACGGG
rnacentral:rRNA from 1 species